AAGCUUUCCUCUCUCUGCCUCUGAUGGUGUCGUGGUGAUGUUUAAGUUAUUUUCCAGUUUGUUUUCUUUCGCUGGAUUUGCUCUUUUCAGAUCAAUAUUAUGAUUUGUUGUUGUCUUUGGGUCUCUUCAUCAAGGAAGAAAAAAACUUGGAUAUCAUAAAAAGAUCACACUCUAGUCUAGAUAUUAUUCCCAAAUUUAUCCCAACUCCCCACCCUCUUAACAUCAAGAUCCCUAAUAAUCUUAUGUUUGGAGGAUUG
rnacentral:lncRNA from 1 species